rnacentral:rRNA from 1 species
CCUACGGGUGGCAGCAGUGGGGAAUAUUGCACAAUGGGGGAAACCCUGAUGCAGCGACGCCGCGUGAGCGAUGAAGUAUUUCGGUAUGUAAAGCUCUAUCAGCAGGGAAGAAAAUGACGGUACCUGAAGAAGAAGCCACGGCUAACUACGUGCCAGCAGCCGCGGUAAUACGUAGGGGGCAAGCGUUAUCCGGAUUUACUGGGUGUAAAGGGGGCGCAGACGGCGAUGCAAGUCAGGAGUGAAAGCCCGGGGCUCAACCCCGGGACUGCUCUUGGAACUGCGUGGCUGGAGUGCAGGAGGGGCAGGCGGAAUUCCUGGUGUAGCGGUGAAAUGCGUAGAUAUCAGGAGGAACACCGGUGGCGAAGGCAGCCUGCUAGACUGCAACUGACGUUGAGGCCCGAAAGCGUGGGGAGCAAACAGGAUUAGAUACCCCAGUAGUC